rnacentral:rRNA from 1 species
GAUGAACGCUAGCUACAGGCUUAACACAUGCAAGUCGAGGGGCAGCAUUUUAGUUUGCUUGCAAACUAAAGAUGGCGACCGGCGCACGGGUGAGUAACACGUAUCCAACCUGCCGAUAACUCGGGGAUAGCCUUUCGAAAGAAAGAUUAAUAUCCGAUGGUAUAUUAAAACCGCAUGGUUUUACUAUUAAAGAAUUUCGGUUAUCGAUGGGGAUGCGUUCCAUUAGUUUGUUGGCGGGGUAACGGCCCACCAAGACUACGAUGGAUAGGGGUUCUGAGAGGAAGGUCCCCCACAUUGGAACUGAGACACGGUCCAAACUCCUACGGGAGGCAGCAGUGAGGAAUAUUGGUCAAUGGACGAGAGUCUGAACCAGCCAAGUAGCGUGAAGGAUGACUGCCCUAUGGGUUGUAAACUUCUUUUAUAUGGGAAUAAAGUAUUCCACGUGUGGGAUUUUGUAUGUACCAUAUGAAUAAGGAUCGGCUAACUCCGUGCCAGCAGCCGCGGUAAUACGGAGGAUCCGAGCGUUAUCCGGAUUUAUUGGGUUUAAAGGGAGCGUAGGUGGAUUGUUAAGUCAGUUGUGAAAGUUUGCGGCUCAACCGUAAAAUUGCAGUUGAAACUGGCAGUCUUGAGUACAGUAGAGGUGGGCGGAAUUCGUGGUGUAGCGGUGAAAUGCUUAGAUAUCACGAAGAACUCCGAUUGCGAAGGCAGCUCACUAGACUGCAACUGACACUGAUGCUCGAAAGUGUGGGUAUCAAACAGGAUUAGAUACCCUGGUAGUCCACACAGUAAACGAUGAAUACUCGCUGUUUGCGAUAUACAGUAAGCGGCCAAGCGAAAGCAUUAAGUAUUCCACCUGGGGAGUACGCCGGCAACGGUGAAACUCAAAGGAAUUGACGGGGGCCCGCACAAGCGGAGGAACAUGUGGUUUAAUUCGAUGAUACGCGAGGAACCUUAUCCGGGCUUAAAUUGCAUUUGAAUAAUCUGGAAACAGGUUAGCCGCAAGGCAAAUGUGAAGGUGCUGCAUGGUUGUCGUCAGCUCGUGCCGUGAGGUGUCGGCUUAAGUGCCAUAACGAGCGCAACCCUUAUCUUUAGUUACUAACAGGUCAUGCUGAGGACUCUAGAGAGACUGCCGUCGUAAGAUGUGAGGAAGGUGGGGAUGACGUCAAAUCAGCACGGCCCUUACGUCCGGGGCUACACACGUGUUACAAUGGGGGGUACAGAAGGCAGCUACCUGGCGACAGGAUGCUAAUCCCAAAAACCUCUCUCAGUUCGGAUCGAAGUCUGCAACCCGACUUCGUGAAGCUGGAUUCGCUAGUAAUCGCGCAUCAGCCAUGGCGCGGUGAAUACGUUCCCGGGCCU